UACGGAGGGUGCGAGCGUUAAUCGGAAUUACUGGGCGUAAAGCGUGCGCAGGCGGUUUGUUAAGCGAGAUGUGAAAGCCCCGGGCUCAACCUGGGAACCGCAUUUCGAACUGGCAAACUAGAGUCUUGUAGAGGGGGGUAGAAUUCCAGGUGUAGCGGUGAAAUGCGUAGAGAUCUGGAGGAACACCGGUGGCGAAGGCGGCCCCCUGGACAAAGACUGACGCUCAGGCACGAAAGCGUGGGGAGCAAACAGG
rnacentral:rRNA from 1 species